CUGGCCAAUCAGCAUCUCCUCAUAGAGAUGAAUUGAAUCAAUGAAUCUCUAUGAGGAAUGUUCAGUGUCUGCAUGCAGAGGGAGGAGACACUGAAUGUUUGGAUGCAUUUUAGGCAGCCAUGACCCAGGAAGGAUCUCUAACAGCCAUCUGAGGAGUGGCCAGUGAAGUUAUCACUAGGCUGUAAUGUAAACACUGCAUUUUCUC